GGAGGAAUAUUGGGUCAAUGGGACGGGAGUCUGAACCAGCCAAGUAGCGUGCAGGAUGACGGCCCUAUGGGUUGUAAACUGCUUUUAUAGGGGGAUAAAGUGUGCCACGUGUGGCAUAUUGCAGGUACCCUAUGAAUAAGGACCGGCUAAUUCCGUGCCAGCAGCCGCGGUAAUACGGAAGGUCCGGGCGUUAUCCGGAUUUAUUGGGUUUAAAGGGUGCGCAGGCGGCGCGCCAAGUCAGCGGUCAAAGUUCCGGGCUCAACCCGGUGUCGCCGUUGAAACUGGCGUGCUCGAGUGCGUGCGAGGAAGGCGGAAUGCGUUGUGUAGCGGUGAAAUGCAUAGAUAUGACGCAGAACUCCGAUUGCGAAGGCAGCUUUCCAGCGCGCUACUGACGCUGAGGCACGAAAGCGUGGGGAUCGAACAGGAUUAGAUACCCUGGUAGU
rnacentral:rRNA from 1 species